CCCGUGCAGCCCUCUUGCGCGCUAGAACCACAGAGAUUGAAGGCUAGCGCGGUCCUGGCUGACGCCGUUGUUUGUGAACCAUAGAGUGUGCGCAAUGGUGAGCAAACGGCGGCGCUGGGUAGAGCGCCUCCAACGGUGGAGCGGCAAGGUUCCCCCUUUCGGCUGCCUGCUGUGUAGUCUUCCAAAAGCAGCGUGGCCCUAGUGGGGAACGAUGGAGAAGAGUAACAGCAGGAAAGGGACGGAGAGGAAGAAGAAAGACGUCAUCCGAUCUGUUUGUCUAGCUGUCUAUCUAACAAUAAAUCAGCAAGCUAGAUCCCAAUAGUGUGCAUCACACUUGGAAACAGAAUCUAGAGUGUGACCAUGAAGAUGAAAGCAUUAGUGGUUCUCAUCGGCUUCCAUAUCCAUUAAAUUCCUGUAAAGAGGCGGCUAUCUAGGUCAAAACAACACGUCCUUUGCCCAGCUGCAGCCACGGGUCGCCAAGAUAGCCAUGGAGCAAAAUUAGGUACCCCGACCACCUCAGUGGCGUCUCUGAGACCUUCAAAAGCUACCAAAUAAAAGCUCCUUCCAAUGCUUCUGAAAGAGACAUGGUCCUUGGAUAAUCUCCAGGGUGAGAGAGUUCAACAACUGAAGGAACAUGAAGCUAUUCCAGGAUCCAGGGGCAGCUCCUGCUCUUUUCAGCACCCCUGUUGGAAAAGAUAGGCUGUAUCUGUCUGUAUCAGGACAAAGAUACGAGCAUGAUCCCUAAGGAAUAUCGAAGAGGAGGAGAGAGUCAUUCUUUCAGAAUAACCAUGUAAAACGUGCCCUUACUAUAUUUUCAUUUGUACGAACUGAUUUUAAUGAACACUUAAGAGGCCAAGGGGUCUAAAUGCUUAAAAAGAGCAUAAACAAGCAAGGCCAGCUAA